GUGAAGAAUAUUGGUCAAUGGGCGCAAGCCUGAACCAGCCAUCCCGCGUGCAGGAAGACGGCGCUAUGCGUUGUAAACUGCUUUUCCAGGGGGAGAAACUUGCGCACGUGUUGCGCAAUUGACGGUACCCUGGGAAUAAGCAUCGGCUAACUCCGUGCCAGCAGCCGCGGUAAUACGGAGGAUGCGAGCGUUAUCCGGAUUCAUUGGGUUUAAAGGGUGCGUAGGCGGACUAUUAAGUCAGUGGUGAAAUCCUGCAGCUUAACUGCAGAACUGCCAUUGAUACUGAUAGCCUUGAGUUUGGUUAAGGUAGGCGGAAUGUGUAAUGUAGCGGUGAAAUGCUUAGAUAUUACACAGAACACCAAUUGCGUAGGCAGCUUACUGAGCCGACACUGACGCUGAGGCACGAAAGCGUGGGGAUCGAACAGGAUUAGAUACCCUAGUAGUCC
rnacentral:rRNA from 1 species